CCUCCAUGUGACAGAGCUGGGCUUAUGCCUCAUUCCCAGCAGAUGACCAAUAGUGGGAAAUCAAAUAGAAUUUAGUUGUUAUCUCAGACAAGUUUUAACCCCUGGAACUGGUUUCUCAGUUGACUUUAGAGCAUCAGGGAUACUUUUAGAGCCUGACACUGUGGUUUAUGGGAAGUAUGUGGGGUGGAGAGAGACUCUUGUCUCUCCUUAUGCUUCUUCUCCCUUGAGAAAGCUCCUCCCACUCCUCCUGGCCCUGGUUUUGGAAGAGACUGUGCAUCCUCAAAUCCUCCAGCGUGGGAGAUGACUGAGAUGAUCUUUUCAGGGGUUCAGAACUCAGGGACACUUUAUCACUAAGUUGCAUACGUCCCCAGCUCUUUUAAAACUUUGAGACAGGGUCCUGCUAAAUUGCCCAAGCUGCCCUUGAACUUGCAGUCUGGCUGCCUCAGCCUCCUGAGUAGCUGGGAUUACAGGCAUGGGCCACGAGCCCUGCCUUGAGUGCAGGUGGAGGGCGAACUUGAUCCUGUGAAGGCAGCAUUUGAUCCAACAAAAUGGGAGGGCAGGUCAGUGUGUGUGAAAAAGGUGUUUUUAAGGACAACUAGUCUGGGAGCAACGUGCAUCGAGGGAGACCACUUGGAGGCAUUCACAAGAAACCAGGCAGACAUCAGGUCGCAGUGCUGGAGUGUUAAGAGGAAAACUAGAAACCAACAGCAAGAGGAGCUAGAAAACUAGAGAAGCAACAGUGAGGAGCCAGAGGGCUGCACUUCCUUUCUCAAGACCCAGAAACAACGGAGCGAGACCCAGAUUCCUGGAUCCACUGUUCCGGCUAUGGAGCACUCCUGGAAAACUUCCGGAUACGACGCUCUUCUUUUAGAAAGGCCUCUACGGGUCGGAGAUUUAGCUCCGUGGCACCGCGCCUGCCUGGCAAGCUCAAAUUCCCGAGUUCGAUCCCUGGUACCAAAAAAAAAAAAAAAAAAAAAGAGCCUUUAAGACCCUUACACGAAUCUCCAAAGCCCUGUUAGGAUCUCCGCCUUUCAGGCUAAGGACUCCAAGUGCAAAUAACCUGCUUUUGCUCCCGUUGCCAGGGUAACAGCCACAAAGUCAAUUCGGCCACCGUAACUGUUCCCAGAAUGCCGCGCGCCUUCACGCUCUUCCAAGGUCCGACUCCUUCCAGAGACCCGUGUCAGUUGGUCUCGCGAGGGUUGCUGGCAGGAUGUUAGAAUUGGCAGACUUGAGCAUAUUUUUGGGAAGGACAGUAAGGACUGUUCCCCACCCCCCCCAACUUUGCAAGCAAUUAGAAGGCUAAGGAAAGGGCAUAAUCUCACGGAAUUUUUGUUGAUUCUUAAUCAGUGGAUUAGAUGUUAUUAGAAAAAUGGAAAGGUGAUGUAUAUUUUAAGUAACCUGAGUUAGCCAUUCCACAAUGUAUACAUAUUUUAAAACAUGUUGUAGAUCAUAAAUAUAUAUUUUAUUUGUAAAAAAAUAAAAUAGCGUUUAAAGUUAAAAAGCUGAGCCCAGCGUGUUGAUAUACACCUGUAAUCCCCAGACUCGG
rnacentral:lncRNA from 1 species